rnacentral:rRNA from 1 species
AGAGUUUGAUCCUGGCUCAGGACGAACGCUGGCGGCGUGCUUAACACAUGCAAGUCGAGCGGAAAGGCCCUUCGGGGUACUCGAGCGGCGAACGGGUGAGUAACACGUGAGCAACCUGCCCCUAGCUCUGGGAUAGCUCCGGGAAACCGGGAUUAAUACCAGAUACGACCACUUUAGACAUCUUUUGUGGUGGAAAGGAUUCCGGCUAGGGAUGGGCUCGCGGCCUAUCAGCUUGUUGGUGGAGUAACGGCCCACCAAGGCGACGACGGGUAGCCGGCCUGAGAGGGCGACCGGCCACACUGGGACUGAGACACGGCCCAGACUCCUACGGGAGGCAGCAGUGGGGAAUAUUGCGCAAUGGGCGAAAGCCUGACGCAGCGACGCCGCGUGGGGGAUGAAGGCCUUCGGGUUGUAAACCCCUUCAGCAGGGACG